ensembl:lncRNA
CUGGUUUAGGCCUGGUUUAGGCCUGGUUUAGGCCUGGUUUAGGCCUGGUUUAGACCUGGUUUAGGCCUGGUUUAGGCCUGGUUUAGGCCUGGUUUAGACCUGGUUUAGGCCUGGUUUAGACCUGGUUUAGGCCUGGUUUAGGCCUGGUUUAGGCCUGGUUUAGGCCUGGUUUAGACCUGGUUUAGGCCUGGUUUAGGCCUGGUUUAGGCCUGGUUUAGGCCUGGUUUAGGCCUGGUUUAGACCUGGUUUAGGCCUGGUUUAGACCUGGUUUAGGCCUGGUUUAGGCCUGGUUUAGGCCUGGUUUAGACCUGGUUUAGGCCUGGUUUAGGCCUGGUUUAGGUCUGGUUUAGGUCUGGUUUAGGUCUG